CCCUGUCGACAGGAGUUGUGCAGCCUUUUCAGGUUAGCCCUUGUCAGCCACAUGACAAACCCCUCUGUAGGUCAGUCCAGGCACAGAUCAGACGCUUGCCUGCAGCUGCCAAUCUUCUGCCCUCCGGUCUCUGCUACCGGUGCUUCUCCUGUCUCUCGCUUCGGUCAGUGAGAAUGAGAUAAGAGCUAUCCCUGUUCAGGCGCCAUCUUGUUGACUCCGGCGAGGGAGGACAUGCAGACAAUCAGUGUGAUUGAUAAUGCAAGCUUCGGUUUAUUGAAAUCAAGACUCUGCUUUUAUACACUCAAAUAUGCAUACUUGUCACUUCUCUAUUGACGCUGGGUAAAAAGCUACAUUUUGCACGUACUGCUAAUGUUGCGAUUUGGGAAAUCAGGAUUCUUCCUCAUCUCUCAUGGUCAGUACAUCUUGUCAGCACGUCCUGUUGUUUAUCUAUAACAGGAUUGUCAAGAACACUGUGUUUGUGUCCUUGCCUUCUUUCUUUAUUCUCAUGAUUUCUGUUCUCACGAUUUCCUUUUUCUGCAGCUAGCAAAGGCCUGCUUAUAUCAAGCUAAAAAGGUGUUUGCUUGUACAGCUCUUCCAGGGACCCGUGUCCCUGAUCCUCCAACCAUUCCUCAACAAAUCAUAGCAGCUCAUGUGUGGAAAGUAAGAAACCCAUAAGAACUAAGUGAACUUACCACAAAGGUUCCCACAGUUUCCACUAUGAAACACUCUAAUCCCAGUGACAAAAUCGGAAUGGAGAUAAGGUGUCAGCAAUUACUCCAGAAGUAAAAUACUAUUACUCCAGAAGUAAAAUACAUCCUUAGAAGUGUUUUCCUUGUCUGAUGCUUGUGCAUUGCUUGCUGAAGGGGGUAGGUGGGUGACCAGUGAAGCUUGGCUGCAGGGUGAGCCCUGAGUGACUUGUUCAGGGGCCGCCUGUGCUGGCACCCCACCUCCAGCCCAUGCAGGGUGAUGGCAUGCUGCCUGGUGCUGGCCCUUCAGGGGUGGCUAUCACUCCACCAGUAUAUGCUACCAAGAAUCCAACAUGCUCCAGCAUCCAGAUCAUCAACAAAAUAAUGGUUUUCUUCACUUGUAUGUAAGCAAGACUAGAAAAACAGAGAACUGCUCAUCUAGUAAAAUGGUAGAAUUUUACCAGUGCUUUGGUUUUUUUUGCAGAUUGUUUUUUUAGAAAAGCAAUGAAGCCUGUGUGGCAUUCGACUGUAUUUAAUUAACCUGGUCUUUUUUAUCUCAUUUCUGCCAUUCUACAUGCAUUAUUCUAUACAAAAACUUCCCCUACAAACCAAAACAUGUUCCUGUGUCAGGUAACUAGUUCGCAUUCCCUCCUAUGGAAUAACAUCAAAAGGAAAGCAUGAAAACUGUUGUGAGAAGGUAGGACUUGUCUGCACAGCUCUGUGGCAAAGCCCCUCAACCCAAACCCUGUCACAUUUUACUCAUUUUGGUACACAGACCAUAUUCCUCUUUUCCAGACAUGGAUGUAUGUGAAGUUUUUCUAUUGCUAGAGGAAGAGUACAGAGAGGGAGUGUCCACAGCAGCCUCUCUAGACCAUCACCUCACAGAAAUUUUCAAAACUUAGAGAGAUUUCUACAGGUAAAUUUUCCAGCUUUUAGAUUAUUUAUAAGUAGCACAAAGCAGAUGCUUUGUAAAGAAAAAAAUAAAAAAGAAAAACUGAUCGUCAAUAUUUUUAUGAAGAUUUUUGUCACUACUUCCCUGUCACCACCCCCUCCCAGGGGCUACAAAGGGCAUAGUGCCAGCCGUGGUACCCCAUGCUCCUCUCACUGAUGUGGAAGGCAGGUCAUGGGUUGAAUGAAACUACUCUUGCUGGAGAGUUUUCCUGAAAUCAUACAAAAUUGCUAUGGGAGUUUCAGAAAUCAUUUUGGUGUUUUCAUCUGUGUGAUGUCUAUCCUUGUUGCCCAUGCUAUUUUGUGUUAAAUUGAAUCCUACUGACCCACAGCAUAAUUUCAGAGUAUUGUUGAAGAAGGAAUUCUUCUUUGUGUUCGUAUUCUUGGGUCUUUUCUUUACAAUUAAAUUGUUGUGAAUAUAUAUUUUGUAAGAAUAUCUGUGAUUUGUUUAGAACUGAAGACAGCUUAAAACCUUGUCUGGCAUUAUUUGUGAUUUUUUCUUUUGGGGGUGUGAAAGCCCUACCACUGCAAACUUUUCCUAUCAAACCUCACAGGAUUAUGGUUGCAACAACUAACAUAAACUACUGUGCAUUUUGGCACAAUCAGGCUGCAGUUAAAAACUUUUUUUUUUUUUAACACUUGGUAAAAAUGUUGCUCUGGCCAAAGGAAGGAAAAGUUUCUAGCAGUUGUGCAGUCUGCUGACACCCACAGGGGAGACAUCUCAUACAGCCCUUGAUUGCCCAAUUGAUGAAAUGAAGCCUUCAUUCUCAAUGGAAAAUUGCAAAAUAAUGAAAAGUAUUAAUGCGCUCAGCUCUGGCAGCCACGUAUCCCCUGGCUGAAUACUUUCAAGCCAUUGCCAGGAGCGGGUGAUUCUGCAAUGACAGACCUUUCCCAUUAACUUCCCCAAGCUGCACUUUUACCAAAACAAAAAGUCUCCCGUGGCCUGGAGAUGCCAGCACAGCUCACUUUAGUUCACACGGUGUUUGGUGCUCUGCCAGGCAGCUCACUACAAGCUCUCUCCUCUCUGUGGAAAGGAGCUGCUAUACCUGCAAAAAGCCCAGGGUUUUUCCCAGGCAAGCUCAUUGUAUCUGUCUUGACAAACACAGCAGAAAAGGGCUGUUUGGGAAGCCCCAGGUGCUCUGAUUGAAGCAAAAGAGUAAAGCAACAGUUGAAAAAUCCUUGCAGAAAUGUAUUGAUUUAGAUUCAGGGUGGUUUGGAUUAACAAUUGAAACUUCCAUAAAAUCAAAUUACCCUGGUUUUGCAAAGACAUCUCUUGCUAGGAAAAAAAAAGGAAAAAAACAUGCACAUCCACUCUCCCCUUAUUAAUUUAAUCAGUAACCAUAGUGGUAGUUUUCUGAAAAAGUGGUUGUUACUUUUGAUUAAAUCAUAAUAAAGUUGGUGAUUUUUUAAAACAGCAUUUGAAUUUUUGCAGUUUCUUUUGGAAUCAUAUAGGCUGUGCUAUUUAUUAUUAGGAGAUUGACUAAAAAUAUCUAUACUUCUGUUACAAAUUUAAAUAUACAGGGAACUGUAUUUAUUAUCCUAAUACAAUGUAUAUUAAAAAAAAAAACCUGUGUUUAUUUUGUGUCUGAAGUAUUUAAGUAUCUUCCUGGCAUCUUUGCUAAAGUGCUUUGGAGGUAUCAGUUCCAAAAUGCUGCAAAAUGUUGUAAUUAGAUAUAAAGUGAAAGCAAAUUGGAAAUAUAUGUAAAAAUUAUAAUUUAACUAUAUUAGUCUACCACAAUUGAAGUGGACUACGGAAAGAAAAGAACAGGACAGUUUCUGGGUUUAUAAUCACUUAGGGGUAAAACACAGAAGAAAAAAGGAAAAAAAAUGCAAAAUGUCUUUACAUCUGUAUUUCAUGCUGAAUUUAAUAAAUCACAGUUUGGGGAGAAAAAUGCAGGGAUUUGCGUCACAAUUUUUCUCAUUGAACUAAGUCAUUUUUACAAUGCAGCCAUUGCAUAGCAGGUCCUCUUAUCACAAUAACAAUGCAAACACUGGAAUAAUUGCAAUCUAUAAACCAUUCUGGAUUUCUAAACAGAAAUAUGAAAAACAAAUCAGUAAUUCAAACAUUAUUUAGUAUGGAUAUGCAAUACAUGCAACUAAGUGGCACACUGUGCUGGGUGGGGGUGAUAGCUAUUAGUAUUGAAUUAUUCAGGCCUUUUAUUCUCCAAACUAUUUUAGUCUGCUUGAGUAAAAAACUUUCUGUAGAGCAAACUAAAAACUGCUAUUUUGAUAUUUACAACCAUUAAUGUUAUGCCUCACAUUAAAAAAAUUUAGUUUACAGCUCCUUCAGCUUCAAGUGAUUUGAAGGGGGAGACGAGUGACAGCAUCUGCUUUAAAACAAAUAAUAAUAACAUUUCGAUGAUUUCUCUGUCAGGUCUAUACUGACAGGGCUUUUCCGACCCGACCCGUCCUGGUGAGGAAGGAUGUUCCCAAGCUUCUGGGAGGCUGUAGCAAAACGAGAGAGCGACUUCACGGCAUACUUGCUCCUCCGCCCUCCUCCUCCUUGCCUCCUGCUUUCCUUCGUUCUCAGCUGCUGAAGAAGUGGCCGGGAAGCCUCGGGGUGGCAGAUCCUCGAGAGAACCUCCCCACCCCUUUCUCGAAGGACUGCAGCCGCCCUGGGCAGGCGCUCCCCUCCCCAAGGACAUGCCAAAUGCUUCUCCUAUCCGCAGUUUCUGGAGCGUUCGCACAGUUUUGAGGACCAGCAGAGCUCCGGGAAGGCGUCAGCAUACAUAUCCUGGGAGCCACCCAAGGGAAGGACAGGAUGGCAUGGGAGGCUGGAAGGAAUGCGUUAAAACCCUGUGCUUUUUCCCCUUUGCAUGGAAGUAGUUGGAUGUCUUUUGCACUUUUUGUCUGGUAAGUGUUGCAGGACCAAUCUGGCAAUAAUUACUGAAUUAUUUGUCAUCACCUGUUUUUUUCACACAUCAUCUUGAUACCUCCUUUCUUACUUUCUGCAAUGAUGAUCAGAGCCUGAGAAUAAAUCCUCUACGUCACAAAUGCUUUUAUGUAUUUUCAGUAUUUCUGGUUUGGUCUUUAAAAUCAUUUUGCAGUCCAAUACAAUGUGGAGUUGAUUUUUGUUUCUUUGUCUUUAGACUAAAAACUAUUUAACAUGGUCUCUUCAACAAAAAUAUUCAUUUCCAUGAUAGGUUAUUUUUGUUAUUAAAUAAUAAUUGUACUAACAUCUUUUAAUGGCAAAUGCAAAUAAUGUUUUACUACUACUGUAAAAUUCAUCUACACACAGAUGAUGAAAUAAUGAAAGAAAAUUAGUUUAAUACAAUGUGUGAAUGAGUGUUCAAGAAAAAUAAAUGUGAGACUUCAUUAUUUUGAAACAUCGUGGGAGAUAGAUUUUUUUCUUUAUUAGUAGUAAGUACAAAACUAGCUUCAAAAAAUUUUCCUCCAUAUGGUUGUAAAAGUCAUAGUGAUAAUAAGUUGCAAUGAUAUUUUACCUUAAUUGUGGCAAAAGAAAUGACACUUUGUUUUGAAGGAAGAAGAACAAGUAACUGAGAUAAUGAUACCUUGGGUUUUAACUCUUAUAUUUUUCAAAUCCUGUACUGCCUAGUGUGUAACUGAAGUUUUGUGUGGCCUGUUAACUAUGCUCUCUCAUGAUGGUUAGACAUAACAAACCUGUC